rfam:Picea glauca, whole genome shotgun sequence.
GUAACGGUGUCUUUAGACACCACCCCUGAUCUUCAAAAAAAAAUUGU